GGGCCCGCACAAGCGGUGGAGCAUGUGGUUUAAUUCGAUGAUACGCGAGGAACCUUACCAGGGCUUAAAUGUAACGGGACAGAUCUAGAGAUAGAUCCUUCUUCGGACUCAUUACAAGGUGCUGCAUGGUUGUCGUCAGCUCGUGCCGUGAGGUGUCAGGUUAAGUCCUAUAACGAGCGCAACCCCCCAUCGUUAGUUGCCAACGAGUAAUGUCGGGAACUCUAACGAAACUGCCGGUGCAAACCGUGAGGAAGGUGGGGAUGACGUCAAAUCAUCACGGCCCUUACGUCCUGGGCUACACACGUGCUACAAUGGUCGGUACAGAGAGCAGCCACUACGCGAGUAGGAGCAAAUCCCCAUAAACCGUGGCUCAG
rnacentral:rRNA from 1 species